AGAGUUUGAUCAUGGCUCAGGAUGAACGCUAGCGGCAGGCUUAACACAUGCAAGUCGAGGGGUAACAGGGAAGCUUGCUUCUGCUGACGACCGGCGCACGGGUGCGUAACACGUAUGGAACUUGCCCUAUACUGGGGAAUAGCCCGGAGAAAUCCGGAUUAAUACCCCAUAACAUGUUCGGUGGCAUCACCGGACAUUGAAAGCUUCGGCGGUACAGGAUAGCCAUGCGGUCGAUUAGCUUGUUGGUGAGGUAACGGCUCACCAAGGCUGCGAUCGAUAGGGGGCCUGAGAGGGUUAUCCCCCACACUGGUACUGAGACACGGACCAGACUCCUACGGGAGGCAGCAGUGAGGAAUAUUGCGCAAUGGAGGAAACUCUGACGCAGCCAUGCCGCGUGCAGGAAGACGGCCCUACGGGUUGUAAACUGCUUUUAUCCGGGAAGAAUCCCUUCUACGUGUAGAAGGUUGACGGUACCGGAAGAAUAAGGACCGGCUAACUCCGUGCCAGCAGCCGCGGUAAUACGGAGGGUCCAAGCGUUAUCCGGAUUUAUUGGGUUUAAAGGGUGCGUAGGCGGAACGAUAAGUCAGUGGUGAAAGCCUGCAGCUUAACUGUAGAAUUGCCAUUGAUACUGUCGUUCUUGAGUGCGCUUGACGUGGGCGGAAUGUGCCGUGUAGCGGUGAAAUGCUUAGAUAUGGCACAGAACACCAAUUGCGAAGGCAGCUCACGAAAGCGAAACUGACGCUGAGGCACGAAAGCGUGGGGAUCGAACAGGAUUAGAUACCCUAGUAGUCC
rnacentral:rRNA from 1 species